UGGCACCUUAAAAAAAUCUCAUCUCUUCAUCUUCCCAAGCGAGCCGUUCCUCCUGAUCUCGCUUUCUGAAGCGUUCAAUCCUUCCAAGUUCCAAUUUAUUCGACUCCCACAUUUGUAGUUUAUGCCAGUUCCAUUUAUACCGUUCCUACUUAACAGAUCAUAUGAAAUUCGAUCCUGAAAUCAGAUCUGUAGUGUCAGUUGCUUGGAGAAGCUAGAACAGAUUGGCGAAGGAACUUACAGGUUUCCUCCCCCUCCUUCUUCUUCUUCUCAAUUGCUGUCAUUUUCUCUGGGUUUUGUUCUUCAAUUUGGUUUGUGACUUCUCAUGAAUUUUAUUGUUCUUUGAAGCGAUUUUUCAUUGCCAAGUUCCGUUAAAAUACUAUUUUGUAUUUUGUUGAUUGAGUGAAUUGGGAUAUAUUUUUUCUUUUUGCUUCAGAUUACAAAUAAUUGUGAAUCUUAUUCUAGAACAUAGUAGCUGGGGUUUUUAUAUUCAUAUGGUUGGCUUUCAUUUUGGAGUCAAGUUACAUGGCUAAAGAAAUCAAACCUGUGAAAUCGUGGCACUGAAAAAGAUCUGUAAAAGAAAAAGGAAAAGAAGGGGUAAGCUACAUUUGACUAAACUUGCAAACUUUUGUGAAUCCAGUAUGAUUUUAUAAUUCCCUUAUGACUGUCUGCUUCAAGAUUCCGAUAACAGCAAUGACGUGGUAAGAUGAAUUGGUGGAGCUAAUGUUCAAAGGAGACAUGGGUUCGUUGGUGCUUAUGGUAAGGAAUGAAUGCCAAAAUGGUGGGAUUGAUUCUCUGGGAAACGAAUAACUUCUGCUGUACAAUCAAAUGAUCAGACCCUGGGAUUCGAGGAGGAGAAUUGGCUUAGGUGGCGGGUAAUGAAGCUGGAGAGAGGCUGAUGAGAACGAAAAGAGUGGAAGAAGAAGAAGAAGAAGAAAAAGAAAAAGAAAACGAGAGGAUGAAUAAUAUAAAGGAGGCUGCAAGGAAGAAUGGUAGGUACUAUAGGGUGAUGAGAGUGAUGGUGAAUCUUAGAAUAUCUCAAUAUCCCGAAUCAGAGAAAGGUUAAUCAAAUUCAUCAGCAAACUCAAUCUCUUGCGGGUUUCAAGUCAACCUGGUUUUGUCUUCAUAGGAGAAUGUCUGAUCGCUUAGAUGGCUCAUAACCAGAAAGGAAUGCGUACACAAGUUAGUUGUUUUGCUUUGCUUUGAGAGAAAUUUAUGUUAAUAAUUCAUGUAGCUAUAUAUUCGCAAUUAUAUCACAAAUAUUUUUUAAUGAAA